rnacentral:misc_RNA from 1 species
GAUGAGGAACGCAGCGAAAUGCGAUAAGUAAUGUGAAUUGCAGAAUUCAGUGAAUCAUCGAAUCUUUGAACGCACCUUGCGCCCUUUGGCCAUUCCGAAGGGCAUGCCUGUUUGAGUAUCAUGAACACCUCAACUCUUCAUGGUUUUCCAUGAUGAGCUUGGACUUUGGGGGUCUUGCUGGCCUGUGGGUCGGCUCCUCUCAAAUGAAUCAGCUUGCCGGUUUUUGGUGGGCAUCACAGGUGUGAUAACUAUCUACGCUUGUGGUUUUCCACCAGGGUAACCUUCAGCAGUGGAGGUUCACUGGAGCUUACAAAUGUCUCUCCUCUGUGAGGACAGCCCUUUGAAUGUUUGAUCUCAAAUCAGGUAGGACUACCCGCUGAACUUAAGCAUAUCAAUAAGCGGAGGA